ACUUAAGUAGUUUAUUAAAAAUAUAGAUCUGUGGAGUCUGAGAAAUGCUCAAUCUUAAGUU
rnacentral:tRNA from 1 species